rnacentral:rRNA from 1 species
AUUGAACGCUGGCGGCAGGCCUAACACAUGCAAGUCGAACGAGUGGCGGACGGGUGAGUAAUGUCUGGGAAACUGCCUGAUGGAGGGGGAUAACCACUGGAAACGGUAGCUAACACCGCACACCAUCGGAUGUGCCCAGAUGGGAUUAGCUAGUAGGUGGGGCAAAGGCUCACCUAGGCGACGAUCCCUAGCUGGUCUGAGAGGAUGACCAGCCACACUGGGACUGAGACACGGUCCAGACUCCUACGGGAGGCAGCAGUGGGGAAUAUUGCACAAUGGGCGCAAGCCUGAUGCAGCCAUGCCGCGUGUAUGAAGAAGGCCUACGGGUUGUAAAGUACUUUCAGCUGGGAGGCGUUACCCGCAGAAGAAGCACCGGCUAACUCCGUGCCAGCAGCCGCGGUAAUUC